UACGUAGGGGGCGAGCGUUGUCCGGAGUUACUGGGCGUAAAGCGCUUGUAGGCGGUCCGCCAAGUUUGGGGUGACAGUUGCCGACUUAAUCGGCAAAGUGCCUCAAAGACUGGCGGACUUGAGGGCCACAGAGGGACAUGGAACUCCAGGUGUAGUGGUGAAAUGCGUAGAUAUCUGGAAGAACACCAAAGGCGAAGGCAGUGUCCUGGGUGGUCGCUGACGCUGAGAGGCGAAAGCCAGGGGAGCGAACGGG
rnacentral:rRNA from 1 species